AGGCUUUGCCUAACCAGGUGGGCUUACUUUCCAAAUGUAUAAAGUAUGAUUGAGUUAUUAAGCUCUAAAUGUUUCAAUGAAAUGCAAAUUGUUUAUUCAAUGAAAUGAAAACUGUUUAUCCAAUAAAAUGUUUAUGUGCACUCUGCUCUGUUUAAGGCUCGCCACAACGAAUCAAUUGAGGUUCUCUUAUGGCCUAACACGCUAUUUGAGAAUUGUGUAUACUCGUUAGCUGACUCGGUGGGUUGAUCUCCAUCGGGCACUAACUAAGAGGCGUUAUAAGGGUGCUUGCUGGAUGUGUUCCGAAGCAUGUAAUGAAAGGGCCUGCCUGGGUAGCGUCCCGAGGUCAAAAGUAAACUUGUCUGGGUUACGCCCUCAGUUCAAGUAAAUGGGAGAAACGGAUCCGUCGGUGGCUAAAAGGUCCGGGAUCACAGCGAGUAACAGAAAGGGAGUGUGACAUGUGCGCACAAAUGAAAGAAAUGUUUUAACAUGCUUAGAAGUUCUUUCACUUUAAAACCUUCUAAGUCAUGUCAAGUAUGAUUGGAUAAACUGUCUUUAUGAAAAUAUGAAAUGUUUCAGAAAAUGCAUGCCCACUAAGUACAUUAGUACUUAGCCCAAAAAUACUUUCAAAUGUUUUCAGGUUGGCUGGCUGGUGCUGACGGGACGGAGCUGAGGCUAGGGUUAAUUUCCUUUGUUAGACUUCCGCUGUAGCAAUUACUCAUAUCCGUCUUUUAUUUUCCCAACUUAAGAUCUUCAUGUAAAAUUUCAAAUGAUAUACCUGACCGAGGUCAGACUCUUCACUACUAAAUUUAUGCUAAUGAAUGUCGGUUGUCAGAAGCAUGAAACAAAACUUGUG
rnacentral:lncRNA from 1 species